rnacentral:rRNA from 1 species
UCUUUUACCCGGGAUGAUAAUGACAGUACCGGGAGAAUAAGCUCCGGCUAACUCCGUGCCAGCAGCCGCGGUAAUACGGAGGGAGCUAGCGUUAUUCGGAAUUACUGGGCGUAAAGCGCACGUAGGCGGCUUUGUAAGUAAGAGGUGAAAGCCUGGUGCUCAACACCAGAACUGCCUUUUAGACUGCAUCGCUUGAAUCCAGGAGAGGUGAGUGGAAUUCCGAGUGUAGAGGUGAAAUUCGUAGAUAUUCGGAAGAACACCAGUGGCGAAGGCGGCUCACUGGACUGGUAUUGACGCUGAGGUGCGAAAGGUGGGGAGCAAACAGGAUUAGAUACCCUGGUAGUCCACGCCGUAAACGAUGAUAACUAGCUGUCGGGGUUCUUAGAACUUCGGUGGCGCAGUAAACGCAUUAAGUUAUCCGCCUGGGGAGUACGGCCSCAAGKUUAAAACUCAAAUGAAUUGACGGGGGCCUGCACAGGCGGUGGAGCAUGUGGUUUAAUUCGAAGCAACGSGCAGAACCUUACCAGCGUUUGACAUGCCUAGUAUAUUUUCCAGAGAUGGAUUAUUUCAGUUCGGCUGGCUAGUGCACAGGUGCUGCAUGGCUGUCGUCAGCUCGUGUCGUGAGAUGUUGGGUUAAGUCCCSCAACGAGCGCAACCCUUCGUYUUUAGUUGCCAUCAUUUAGKUGGGSACUUUAAAGAAACCSCCGGUGAUAAGCCGGAGGAAGGUGG